ensembl:lncRNA
GUGAUCAGAUUAUCUUAUACUGAAGAAGAGCAGAAUAAUCUGACAGGAACUGAGGGAGGAAACAUCACUCUGCCUGAUCCUGUACUGGAGAGAGGAUAUCUGUUAUAUGGAGGAAAUGUUAUUGCUCAGACCUGCAGAAGAGAGACUCUGGGAUUUAUAAAAUUGACUCUAAAAAAGGAGUAAUUUCUACUAAAUCCAUUUAUAGCCUCACAGUUUACGACUCUGUAGCGCCUCCUGCUGUCCAAACACUGAGUGUGAGCUCUGACAGCUGCUAUCUGCUGUGUGCUGUGGACAAAGCUGCAGAGAUCACACUGUGGUGGUACAAAGAUGAGGAGGUGGUGAACCAGAGCAGCUCUGCUGGAUCUCUGCCUCUCACUGUGACCAAACAGGACUUCAGCUCCUCUUACAGAUGUGUGGCUGGAAACCCUGCAGAAGAAAGGACUCUUCUAGUGGAUCUUCAGACGUUCUGUGGCGAGAGCUUCACUGGAGUGCAGAACAACACAGAAUCAAGACAUGGUUGGAUCAUAAUUGGAGUCUCUACUGGAUGUGCUGCACUUACAAUUGUGACAGUCGCUGCAUUUUUAAUCAGAGUCUCUAGACUCAACAACAGAAGUGGAGUACACUGGAGUAAAUAUCUGUGCUGACGGACACAGUCAGGGAGGAAAUUUCCCGGAUUCACCAGGAUCUGUUGAGCAGCUGUUGGUUUAUCACAUGAUAGAUCCAGACUCGGAAGGUCACGUCUGACAGCAAACAACACAGAAUCAGUGAUGGUGUUGAUGUCUCCUCAUUUAUACUGUUAGUCUGCCAAAGAAAGCAGUAAGUAUACAGUAUUCUCCUGAUGCCACAGUGAACCAGCUGGUAGCUUCUGAUGCCAUGUUCACAAAUCAUUUACUGCCUAGUCGAUCAUUACAGACUCAUUGUCUUCCUCAGAACUUCAGCUGAAGGUAUCUGGAUGUCUUUUCUGGUUCUUAUUUCAUCCAAGAGGCUUCUACAGUUCUAGUUAAUACAGUUCUUUAUUCUCUCCAUUAAAUCACGUGACUCACAGCCACAUAUUUUAAACCCAGUGAAGGUUUCUGUAGACUGAAGCUCAGCUGAGCUGUGAGAUCUUCAGUGUCAUUAAACCUCCACAUGGACAAAGUGGAACUCAGAACGUUGAACCUCUACAGAGGUAAUCAGAGCACUGAGCUGCUGGUUCACACAUGUGGACGACACUUCCAUCUAAACCAAAGAAGUGGAAACUUUUACAGAAAAUAUCAGCUCUGGGUAGAAACAUGAAGUCCAUCAGGUUCAGGUUGGCUCCAUCUCCUCAGGACAGAGGUAGGAGGUCAUGUUCACUGUCGUACAGCUUCUCUCUGGUUUCAGUUCUCUAAUGAUUGGACUCUUUCUCUUAAUCCCUGUCCGUUUGCUCAGAUGGUCUUCAUACAUCUUCCUCUACCUGCCUCUUGUUUUCUUUCUGUUCAUGCUGCCUUCAGUAAAUAAAUGCAACAAUUCAUUGUUUCUCGACAUGUGACCACAACACGAGAUCAUUCUUGACUUGAUGGCGUCCAUUAACCUGGUUUCCAGAAGCUUUGCGUUGCUGAUCUUUCUUGUCCAGCUGAUGUUUAACGUUCUUCUCCAGCACCACAACUCAAAUAUUUCCAGUCUUUUUGUCACUUCUUUGUUCAGUGUCCCAGUUUCUGAAGAACCGACCAGACAGCACAGAACCAAUGGCUUCCUGGUUGUUGUUGUAAACCUGUCAGAGCCAUCAAGGAGGAGUUCCACAGGAUUGCAG